CCUCUCCCUCUCCUAGUUUGGAUUUGAGUCACUGUUUGAGUCUGUCUUUGUGGUGUGGUAUGGAGGCGAUGGUGAAGAAAUACCAGCAGAGGUUCAGGAAGGUCAGGGACGAGAUGGACCGCUGGUCCUCGCUUCAGUCGCGCUUGAUUUCACAGUUCAGGAACGCCUCCUCCAUCAUCCAGAGGUUGCAGAUUCUCCUAGAUUCCAAGAAGUAUGUUCGUUUGAAGGACGUUGUUGGUAUUCAAGAGGCAGUACUGGCGAAGCAGGUGGAGUCGUUGCGGAAAAUCUUGUUUUCCAUGAACAAAACCAUGGAAGAGUUUCAUGGAAUUGUAUUGUCUCUUGGGAAGAUUCAUCGUGAUGGUAGGCAGAUGGUGAAGGGUGGUGGUUCUAAUCAGCUGACUGUAAAACAACUGCAGCAACGAGUUGGUGUAAAACCCCGUCUUGCAGAUUGCUUAGAUGGGCUUAUGCUUCUUCAGGACAUGCAUUGCUCUGAGUACCUUUUGAAAUCAUCAUUGGUUUCAGCACUCUCAGCACUUACCUUUAAACCCAGUGCGAGUGAUUUGGGAGCGCUUCAGCAGCUCUUGGUUGAUCAGCCUAACAUACCGAAUGAGGAGGUUCAAUUCAUCUUUGAUAUCAUAUUUGCAGAAGAAAUUUGUUGAUCUUUUCUGUUACAUUGGCCGCAAACUUCGUAGCUCUGGAAAUGGGAAGCAGUUUGAAACCUCUUGGUGUUCUGUAUGGGCGAUGAGUGAUGACAGUUGGAUGCCUGAACUCUGGUGUUGAGACUUCAAAAGGUGCCGGCAACGUUUUAUAUUUGGAAGUGCACAAGAGGGAGAAUUCAAAGAAAAUUCGAACUUACCUGUACAUUCAUGGAAGUGAUGCAGCAGAAGGUUGGAAUAUUGAAGUUAAUUAUUAUUGUUGUUUGUGCCCGAAGAAGGGAUGUGUGUGAACUUCUGGAUCCUUUCAAUCUAUGUUAUUGAGCAUGGAUGGCUGGGGAUCAACUACCCUCCCCAAAUUUUUAGGCCCCUGGCCCUAGCUGCUUUUUAUUGCAGACCAUGAGCGGCAAACUAAACUCGGUUUGGGGUUGAGUAGAAGUGUAUCAUGGUUACUUCCAUCUACGGGUCAGGAAUUGCAAUUUGCGACGACCUAGCUUGUCGUUUUGCCGUCCAGUUACAGAUUUUAAUUUUGAAGUCUACUUUCCAUUUUCAGCAAGUACCUUCCUUAAUUUCAUGAAAUCCAUAAUUUCCUCAA